rnacentral:rRNA from 1 species
CCUACGGGUGGCAGCAGUGGGGAAUAUUGCGCAAUGGGCGAAAGCCUGACGCAGCGACGCCGCGUGAGGGAUGAAGGUCCUCGGAUUGUAAAACUCCGUUAGCAGGGAAGUACGGUGACUCUGCUAAUCAGCAGUGAAUUGACGCUACCUGCAAAGGAAGCACCGGCUAACUCCGUGCCAGCAGCCGCGGUAAUACGGAGGGUGCGGGCGUUAAGCGGAAUUACUGGGCGUAAAGCGCUCGUAGGCGGUAUGGCAAGUCAGGGGGGAAAUCCCCGGGCUCAACGUGGGAACUGCCGUUGAAACUGGCAGACUGGAGUGUGUGAGAGGAUAGUGGAAUUCCAGGUGUAGGAGUGAAAUGCGUAGAUAUCUGGAGGAACAUCAGUGGCGAAGGCGACUAUCUGGGGCGUAACUGACGCUGAGGCUCGAAAGCGUGGGUAGCAAACAGGAUUAGAUACCCGUGUAGUC